rnacentral:lncRNA from 1 species
AAGAAGGACAGAACACUGUAGCUGACAGCACAGUGCACAUUCCCUUUCCUCCGUGAACAGUGCUGCGCCUCCUCCCUACCCUGCUGCUAGCUUCACUCUCUUCUUCAACUUUUCACCAAAACCAUGCUGAAACUUCACCAAAUUCACAAGCAAGCAUGAAGNNNNNNNNNNNNNNNNNNNNNNNNNNNNNNNNNNNNNNNNNNNNNNAAAACCAAUUUUUUGGCCAAAGCACACUUUAAUCAAUACUCAAGAUUAUCCAAUGGUCAUGAAGAUUGAUCAAUUGGUCCUAUAAAUUGAGAAGAAGAAAUCAGAACAGAGGAGGAGGCGAUUUUGGAGGAACAGAGAGAAGAGAAAAACCAAAAAAUCUCAUUUUUUCAUCACUUUUCCAAAAUCCGAAAUUGACUCAAACACCUUCCAAACUUCAAUCUUCUUCACCCAAAAGCCUCUAAACACUUCCAGUAGCUUGAAACAACAAUAAAAAACGAAGGAAAACCAUCAAGAGGAGCAUACUCAAAGUUCAAAAUAGCAAAGAAAAGAGUUGGUGUUAACCCACCAAAACAGAGCUCGAAACCAGUAAGAUUCUAAACGUUUUUUACUACUGAACAUCAUCUGAAGCUUUUCCAACCCUUGAUUUUGCUUAAAUCGUACAAAUGUGAAAUUUAAAGUUUUUUUGGGUUUUAAAGUUUCGAACUUUUUUUGAGAUACAAACACCUUUUCAAAAAUCUAAGUUUGUAAUCAUGAUCUACGCAAUAUUUUGGUCGAAACGGUAUAUAAUUUUGUGAUUUUUGAUGAAGUUUUGGCCAAGUUGUUGUUGUUGGCCGUGAGCUUCAAAGCUCUUUCAUGGCCUCCCUUUUGUUGUUCUUCAUCGGGAAGAAGGUGAAGGAGGUUGAAGACGAUGACGUGGCGACACGUCAUUGGCUCCCUCCAUUUUAAAACGCGUCUGUUAGAUUAAUCCAAGGACCGAGAUCUGUUAUGUGAUUUUUAAAUCACAGCCACAUGAUUUAAUCAAAAGGCUCAGACCCAUGACGUCUACUGUGCGCCUCUGUUCUCACACCACACUGGAUUCUAUCCUGUUUAUUUUAUUUGUUUGGCCGAAUUUAUUCUGGGCUGGGCUUUGGUGUUGCAGAUUGCUAUUGCUUCACCCCCAGAACCCAGUUUACACCCCCAGUGGCGGUUCAUUUAUUUUUUUAGUGCUUAUUCAUAUAAGUGCUUAUUCAAAUAAGAGCUUGUUGUCUAUACUUUGUUAGCUUGAUUUGUUUCUUCUUCGUCUUGCUUAAAUUUAUUCAAU